rnacentral:misc_RNA from 1 species
UCGAGCGCGAGAAUCGCGUGCGAUUUGUGUGGAGCGAUUCGAGUUCGUUUCACAGGUUUUUGUUGGUUUUUCGGGAAUACAAUGCAAAAAGUGGGUAAAUUAAAUUCAUCGAUCGAUAUCAUUCCAAUACAAGGAUCAAGCAGCGAUUACAGAUCGAGAUACAUAAAUAAGCUCAGAAUGGAUCAAAGAUUGUUUCGAGAUCAAUCACUAAUUGCACGCGUACAAACGUAUAUGCACGAAAACGAAAACAAAGUAUAUAUUGAUGUCAAUGAAAUGGCAGAUGCAUUGCAAAAACGAUACAGAGAUUAUCGUGGUAAGAAGCGUGGUACGUUUCGUGCAAUGGUACGUAAAGCUUAUGACGAACUCACAGAGAUAUUCUCAAGGAAACCUACGACACGUGAAUGUGCUGCAUACGACGAUGAUGAUUUUGAGGAUGUUGAUGUCGAAUUAGAUUCACAACGUACUUCAAUAGGUGAUAUGUUAUUACAUAUGUAUAAUAAGUCGUCAUACACACAGAAUGGAAAUUCGAGCGAUAAGGAAUUGAUAGAUAUCAGUAGCGACGAUGAUGUGUCAAAGAUGGAAUCUAAAAUUGAAAAGAAUGUAAAAGCAUCUGAGCCUGUGUGUAAUGUUAAUGAAGAUUCUUUGCACACAUCUGCAACAGUUAUUUCAAAAGCAGAAAUAGCUAUCUCACAAUCAGCAAUAUCUAUUCCAAAGCCAGAAACAUCCGUUACAAAGCCAGAAACAUCGAUUACAAAGCCAGAAACACUUGCGAUAAAGUCAGAAUUACCUGUAAAAUCCAAAAACCUUGUGAACGAGGUCAUAAAACAACCAUUAAUAGAAUCUGCAAGAAAACGACAAAGGGACAAAGAAAAUGACAGUGGACAGUUUUCAAUUGCGAAAAAAGCAAAAUCUAUACCUGUCACAGAACCGAAAGUUACAUUUUCCGAUGUAGGUGGUAGUGACAAAAUCUUGAGAACUGUCUGCAAGUUACUAGCCCAUAUAAAACAUCCUGAAAUUUUUAAACAGCUUGGUAUAUCUCCGCCAAGAGGAUUUUUACUUCAUGGGCCUCCCGGAUGUGGAAAGACAUUACUAGCACAUGCAGUUGCAGGAGAAUUAAACAUACCUCUACUAAAAGUAGCAGGGCCUGAGCUUGUGGCAGGAGUAUCUGGUGAAAGUGAAGCUCGUAUUAGAGAAUUGGUUGAGCAAGCUUUAAGUCUUGCACCAUGCAUCAUUUUCAUAGAUGAAAUAGAUGCUGUUGCACCACAUAGAGCUACAGCUCAAAGAGAGAUGGAAAGAAGAAUUGUUGCACAAUUAUUGUCAAGCUUAGAUGAAUUAAAUUUCAAAGAAAAUGGAGACAGAGUACUGGUGAUUGGUGCGACAAAUCGACCUGAUUCAUUAGAUCCUGCUUUAAGAAGAGCGGGACGUUUUGAUCGUGAAGUAUGCCUUGGCAUACCAGACAGAGAGGCGAGGGCUAGAAUCUUAGCAGUGCAUACUGAAAAAGUUGUAUUAGCUCCUAAUGUUAGUUUGUCGACAAUAGCUUCCCUCACUCCAGGUUUUGUAGGUGCAGAUUUGGUUGCCUUAAUUAGAGAAGCUGCCAUGGCUGCUGUAGAUAGAAUAUUUGAGGAUUUAAAUAGAUCAAGGCAGGAACAAAAAUUACCCGAAAUAUCAUCCGAAAUCGAUAAGAAAUCUAACAAGGAAACUCAUACUUCCAAAGAUUCGGGAAAUUUAAUUAAUCAAAAUACCAGUGUUCCUACGACAGAAGUUCCUACUACUACGGUACAAAAUGAUACCGCGUUCCUAAGAGAUGUAUCCAAAACUCCUGUAACUUUGGAUAAUACUGAAAUGGACAUAAUACAGGAACACUCAUCGGAUUUGUCAAGCUUAUUGGGUUGGUUACACAGCGAGCUUUCCCUUUCCGCAAAACAUCUAUCAACCUUGUGUAUUGAGCAUAGUGAUUUUGAGAUUGCUUUACGCGUUGUUCAACCUUCAGCGAAAAGAGAAGGAUUUGCAACAGUUCCUGAUGUAACCUGGGACGAUGUUGGCUCAUUGCAAGAUGUACGACAGGAACUGCAAAUGGCGAUUCUCGCUCCCAUUAAGCACUCUGAACAAUUUAAUGCAUUAGGUUUAACUGCUGCUAGUGGAGUAUUGUUAUGUGGUCCACCCGGAUGUGGAAAAACUUUGCUUGCCAAAGCUAUUGCUAAUGAAGCUGGGAUUAAUUUUAUUUCCGUUAAAGGACCUGAACUUUUAAAUAUGUAUGUUGGCGAAAGUGAGAAAGCAGUUCGUCAAUGUUUCUUAAGAGCAAGAAAUUCGGCACCGUGCGUCAUAUUCUUUGAUGAAUUAGAUGCAUUAUGUCCUAAAAGAACAGAAGGUGAUCAUUCUGCAACAUCACGUGUCGUUAAUCAAAUGCUUACAGAAAUGGAUGGUGUCGAGGAUCGACAAGGUGUAUUUCUUAUGGCCGCUAGUAAUCGCCCUGACAUAAUAGAUCCAGCUGUUUUGAGACCAGGAAGACUCGACAAAAUUUUAUACGUUGGUUUCCCAACAGCUUCAGAUAGAGUCGAUAUUUUACGUGCAUUAACAAAAAAUGCAACAAAACCAAAACUUGCAUCAGACGUUAAUUUGGAGCAAGUGGGAUAUCACGACAAGUGUCAAGGUUAUACUGGAGCAGAUUUAGCAGCUUUGAUAAGAGAAGCUGGUAUGGAAGCGUUGAAGGAGAUAAUAGCCGGUUAUGGACACUCAGAAAUUUCUAUGCGGCACAUCUUUCGAGCAUUCGAUAAAAUACAACCGUCUGUUCGCGAGAAGGAUAUUAAGCAUUAUGAAAAGUUGAGUAAGCUGUAUUCAGUUAAGAAGAGUUCUGAGAUUACACCAAUGGAAACACCAAUAGAAACACCAAUAGAUGCACCAAUUGUUGAUGUAAUUAUGGAAUCAAUGGAAACUUGAAGUGCAAUUAAAAAGUCUAUGGAAAUUGCUAAAAAAUUCUUCCAUUAACAAACUUCAUAUUAAACUUUACACAGAAAUGAAAGAUUACUAUAAGGAAAAAAU